AGGUAAUGUCUACUGUACCUAUACCACCGUAGGCACUCGAUCAUGCUGUGGGUGCAAAACCUUAGACGUUCAUCGUCGAUGGUGUGAUGUGAGGCGGGGUUAAAUGCCCU
rnacentral:ncRNA from 1 species